rnacentral:tRNA from 1 species
GCCGGGGUGGCGAAACUGGUAGACGCGAACGACUCAAAAUCGUUUGCCGGCAACGGCUUGCGGGUUCGAAUCCCGCCCUCGGCA